rnacentral:rRNA from 1 species
GACGUAGGGCGCGAGCGUUGUCCGGAUUUAUUGGGCGUAAAGAGCUCGUAGGCGGCUUGUCGCGUCGACUGUGAAAACCCGUGGCUCAACCAUGUGGUCUGCAGUCGAUACGGGCAGGCUAGAGUUCGGUAGGGGAGACUGGAAUUCCUGGUGUAGCGGUGAAAUGCGCAGAUAUCAGGAGGAACACCGGUGGCGAAGGCGGGUCUCUGGGCCGAUAUUGACGCUGAGGAGCGAAAGCGUGGGGAGCGAACAGG